GAUGAAGAACGUAGCGAAAUGCGAUAAGUAAUGUGAAUUGCAGAAUUCAGUGAAUCAUCGAAUCUUUGAACGCACAUUGCGCCCGCCAGUAGUCUGGCGGGCAUGCCUGUUCGAGCGUCAUUUCAACCAUCAAGCCCCCGGCUUGUGUUGGGGACCUGCGGCUGCCGCAGGCCCUGAAAACCAGUGGCGGGCUCGCUAGUCACUCCGAGCGUAGUAAUACAUCUCGCUCAGGGCGUGCUGCGGGUUCCGGCCGUUAAAAGCCUUAUUUACCCAAGGUUGACCUCGGAUCAGGUAGGAAGACCCGCUGAACUUAAGCAUAUCAAUAAGCGGAGGA
rnacentral:misc_RNA from 1 species